rnacentral:rRNA from 1 species
AGUGAACGCUGGCGGUAGGCCUAACACAUGCAAGUCGAACGGCAGCACAGUAAGAGCUUGCUCUUACGGGUGGCGAGUGGCGGACGGGUGAGGAAUACAUCGGAAUCUACUUUUUCGUGGGGGAUAACGUAGGGAAACUUACGCUAAUACCGCAUACGACCUACGGGUGAAAGCAGGGGAUCUUCGGACCUUGCGCGAUUGAAUGAGCCGAUGUCGGAUUAGCUAGUUGGCGGGGUAAAGGCCCACCAAGGCGACGAUCCGUAGCUGGUCUGAGAGGAUGAUCAGUCACACUGGAACUGAGACACGGUCCAGACUCCUACGGGAGGCAGCAGUGGGGAAUAUUGGACAAUGGGCGCAAGCCUGAUCCAGCCAUACCGCGUGGGUGAAGAAGGACUUCGGGUUGUAAAGCCCUUUUGUUGGGAAAGAAAAGCAGCAGGUUAAUACCCCGCUGUUCUGACGGUACCCAAAGAAUAAGCACCGGCUAACUUCGUG